rnacentral:rRNA from 1 species
UACGUAGGGGGCGAGCGUUGUCCGGAUUUAUUGGGCGUAAAGAGCUCGUAGGCGGUUUGGUAAGUCGGGUGUGAAAUCUCCACGCUCAACGUGGAGGGGCCACUCGAUACUGCCAUGACUCGAGUCCGGUAGAGGAGUGUGGAAUUCCCGGUGUAGCGGUGAAAUGCGCAGAUAUCGGGAGGAACACCCGUAGCAGAAGGCGGCACUCGUGGGCCGGAACUGACGCUGAGGAGCGAAAGCGUGGGGAGCGAAACAGG